UACAGAGGUGGCAAGCGUUGUUCGGAAUUACUGGGCGUAAAGGGCGCGUAGGCGGUCUUGCAAGUCCCGUGUGAAAUCCCUCGGCUCAACUGAGGAACUGCACGGGAAACUGCUUGGCUUGAGUUCGGGAGAGGGAAGCGGAAUUCCGGGUGUAGCGGUGAAAUGCGUAGAUAUCCGGAGGAACACCGGUGGCGAAGGCGGAUCUCUGGGCCUGUCCUGACGCUGAGGCGCGAAAGCGUGGGGAGCAAACAGG
rnacentral:rRNA from 1 species